rnacentral:rRNA from 1 species
UAGGGAAUCUUCGGCAAUGGGGGGAACCCUGACCGAGCAACGCCGCGUGAGUGAAGAAGGUUUUCGGAUCGUAAAGCUCUGUUGUAAGAGAGGAACGUGUGUGAGAAUGGAAAGUUCACACAGUGACGGUAACUUACCAGAAAGGGACGGCUAACUACGUGCCAGCAGCCGCGGUAAUACGUAGGUCCCGAGCGUUGUCCGGAUUUAUUGGGCGUAAAGCGAGCGCAGGUGGUUGUAUAAGUCUGAAGUAAAAGGCAGUGGCUCAACCAUUGUGUGCUUUGGAAACUGUACAACUUGAGUGCAGAAGGGGAGAGUGGAAUUCCAUGUGUAGCGGUGAAAUGCGUAGAUAUAUGGAGGAACACCGGUGGCGAAAGCGGCUCUCUGGUCUGUAACUGACACUGAGGCUCGAAAGCGUGGGGAGCAAACA